rnacentral:tRNA from 1 species
GCACGCUUAGCUCAGUUGGCUAGAGCGCCUCGCCUACACCGAGGAUGUCGGGGGUUCAAGUCCCUCAGCGUGCA